GCUCAGGUGCUCCCAGACUCAGAAGCCUCCACCUAGAGCACGUCUUAGGGGAUGUCUACCCUCCUCUAAGAUGUGCGAGAGGCCCGGAUGCAGGGUGGGGAAGGGGUACAUGUGGGGUUACCCCCAAGAGGGCCCAUCAUCCACCAUCCAGAGCAACAUGGGGCGUUCCAAGGUCCCCCCAGGCCCUUCACCAGCUUGCAGCUUGCUCAUAUGCUUGUGGUAGUUGCUCUUUUGGGAGAGGCCUGGUCUCUCUGGUCACAUGCAAGGUGACCUGUGGCAGGGUCACACAGAAGAGGCAAGUGAAAGCCCAAAGCCAGGACUUCUGGAGUGCCAAAGGGCAGUGCCAGUGUGGGCACUGGGGGAGGGGGCCACGCGGUGCCGAGAGCCCGCAGCUGCAGGGAGGCUCCCAGGCCUGGCUGCGCUGCAAACUCCUGCUGGCUCAGCUCUGCUCGGGGCUGACUCACCUUCCCUCUCCCACCUGUUCCCCUUUCACAGCCCUCCCACCUGCCUCCCUCCUCGUGCCGCUCCUCUGAUCCCUCACUCCACUCCGGCUCCUGCGGCGCUGACGGAGCGGGGUGGGGGGAGUUGCUGCGUCUGGGGGUGUAAGAACCUUAGAUGUCACGGAGCUUGGAAUUGUGCCAACGGGCAGGCUGAAGGGGCCUUAAAGUGCUGCCAAGCCCUCCUCAUGCCACACCAGCUUCCCUGCAGAGCCAGGAGCCCAUGGCUGCGAUCAGAUGACUGCUUCCUGCGUCUAGCUUUUCUCAUUGCAGUUUUUUCCAGAUGGGGACCCCGAUGUCUGCCCUGUGGGCUGGAGCAGGCGGCGACUCUGUCCUGGCUGUGAGAUCUCCUCCACCGCCCCUGACUCCUACCCUGUCAGGCCCACCCCCAGUCUCUUAUCACCGCUGGAGGGGAAUCUGAGCAAUCCCCUACGGGGUGACAACCUGCAACUACAUGGCAUCGUGCACGUGGAUCCACUGCAGCAUGGAGCGGGGUCUGCAUCAGGAAAGACACUCCUCCUCUUCCCCCGGCCGCAGGCUGGAGUGCAGUGGCGUGAUCUCGGCUCGCUACAACCUCCAC